GCAUUAAUGGGGUAGUGGUAACCUGGGUCGUUGCCAUUAAACCGUCUCGACCCGCCGGGGGUUCGAUUCCCUCUUAAUGCA